GUGAAUCAUCGAAUUUUUGAACGCAAAUUGCACUCUCUGCGGAGAGUAUGCCUGUUUGAGGUUCAGCCUAAAAAAAUCGACAUAGUCGCUGUUUCGCGGUGACAUUCGUCGGAAGUUGUGUCAUCUUAAACCUUUGGGUUUUAAGCGGCUUAGAAUUUUCGUUACGAUUCCACUAACGUUUCUAAGAUUUACUUCUUACACGUUUAAGGUAAUCGAUCUUUAUUAGACGUGGCGUUUGCAUCGGAUCGCGUCCAUAGAUAUUUCGUUAACUGACCUCAUACAGGUAAGAACACCCGCUGAA
rnacentral:misc_RNA from 1 species